AUUGAACGCUGGCGGCAGGCCUAACACAUGCAAGUCGAGCGGAGCGGCGGACGGGUGAGUAAUGCCUAGGAAUCUGCCCGGCCGUGGGGGAUAACGUCCGGACACGGGCGCUAAUACCGCAUACUAUCAGAUGAGCCUAGGUCGUAUUACCUAGUUGGUUGGGUAAAGGCCUACCAAGGCGACGAUCCGUAACUGGUCUGAGAGGAUGAUCAGUCACACUGGAACGGAGACACGGUCCAGACUCCUACGGGAGGCAGCAGUGGGGAAUAUUUGACAAUGGGCGAAAGCCUGAUGGAGCCAUGCCGCGUGUGUGAAGAAGGUCUUCGGAUUGUAAAGCACUUUAAGUUGGGAGGCGGUACCAACAGAAUAAGCAACGGCUAACUACGUGCCAGCAGCCGCGGUAAUAC
rnacentral:rRNA from 1 species